UUCUAAAUGCACUGUUCUUUGACUAUGAUCUGAAAAAAGCUGUGUUGGGGCCGAGGCUCCACAACCAGCUGGAUCCCAACGCCACUGAAGCAGAACCAGACUUUGACUUGAACGUCCUGGAAGGUUUGGCAUUGAAGAACCACGAGAUAAAGUACCUGAAAUCGACAAUAGCUGUGGUGCAGGCGGUGGUUCGCUAUGAAGACGGACUCCACGCUCAGUCAGAUUCUCGCAAGUGGGCAUACGCCGCCGGGUACUGAGGUCAUAAACUCA